CCACGGGAGUCGGGCUCCACCCACGACCCCAAUCGCAAGGAGGACUCCGCCCAGACCCCUACGGGGGCCGGACUCCGACCGCUGCCGAGCUUCAGCCAGCAGAUCUGCACUCCCAGGCCACAAUCACGGCCACGAUCCUGCUCCACUUCCUGCGGCGGACUCCGCGCAGCUCCAUCACUCCCGGACAGACCGCAGUAACGGUCGCAACACUGCUCCACUCCCUACGACGGAUCCCACGCCCAUGCGGCUCCAUUACUACCUGAC
rnacentral:lncRNA from 1 species